rnacentral:pre_miRNA from 1 species
GGGGGGAGGCCGGAUCCUGGGCUGUGUCCCCGAGCCCUGUGCUCCGGAGCCUGCACUGUUGGAUUCGCGCUCGCGGUGGCACAGCCCGCU